GUGCCAGCAGCCGCGGUAAUACGUAGGUGGCAAGCGUUGUCCGGAUUUACUGGGCGUAAAGGAUGUGUAGGCGGAUAUUUAAGUGAGAUGUGAAAUCCCCGGGCUUAACUUGGGGGCUGCAUUUCAAACUGGAUGUCUAGAGUGCAGGAGAGGAAAGCAGAAUUCCUAGUGUAGCGGUGAAAUGCGUAGAGAUUAGGAAGAAUACCAGUGGCGAAGGCGGCUUUCUGGACUGUAACUGACGCUGAGGCAUGAAAGCGUGGGGAGCAAACAGGAUUAGAUACCCUCGUAGUCC
rnacentral:rRNA from 1 species